GUUGACUGCGGAGGUCUUACCGAGUGAGGGCCCUCUGGGUCCAACCUCCCACCCGUGUUUAUUUUACCUUGUUGCUUCGGCGGGCCCGCCUUAACUGGCCGCCGGGGGGCUUACGCCCCCGGGCCCGCGCCCGCCGAAGACACCCUCGAACUCUGUCUGAAGAUUGUAGUCUGAGUGAAAAUAUAAAUUAUUUAAAACUUUCAACAACGGAUCUCUUGGUUCCGGCAUCGAUGAAGAACGCAGCGAAAUGCGAUACGUAAUGUGAAUUGCAAAUUCAGUGAAUCAUCGAGUCUUUGAACGCACAUUGCGCCCCCUGGUAUUCCGGGGGGCAUGCCUGUCCGAGCGUCAUUUCUGCCCUCAAGCACGGCUUGUGUGUUGGGCCCCGUCCUCCGAUCCCGGGGGACGGGCCCGAAAGGCAGCGGCGGCACCGCGUCCGGUCCUCGAGCGUAUGGGGCUUUGUCACCCGCUCUGUAGGCCCGGCCGGCGCUUGCCGAUCAACCCAAAUUUUUAUCCAGGUUGACCUCGGAUCAGGUAGGGAUACCCGCUGAACUUAAGCAUAUCAAAAAGCCGGAAGGAAAU
rnacentral:rRNA from 1 species